AGUGAACGCUGACGGUAGGCCUAACACAUGCAAGUCGAACGGCAGCACAGAGGAGCUUGCUCCUUGGGUGGCGAGUGGCGGACGGGUGAGGAAUACAUCGGACUCUACUCUGUCGUGGGGGAUAACGUAGGGAAACUUACGCUAAUACCGCAUACGACCUACGGGUGAAAGCAGGGGACCUUCGGGCCUUGCGCGAUUGAAUGAGCCGAUGCCGGAUUAGCUAGUUGGCGGGGUAAAGGCCCACCAAGGCGACGAUCCGUAGCUGGUCUGAGAGGAUGAUCAGCCACACUGGAACUGAGACACGGUCCAGACUCCUACGGGAGGCAGCAGUGGGGAAUAUUAGACAAUGGGCGCAAGCCUGAUCCAGCCAUACCGCGUGGGUGAAGAAGGCCUUCGGGUUGUAAAGCCCUUUUGUUGGGAAAGAAAUCCAGCUGGCUAAUACCCGGUUGGGAUGACGGUACCCAAAGAAUAAGCACCGGCUAACUUCGUGCCAGCCGCCGCGGUAA
rnacentral:rRNA from 1 species